GGCUUCUCCUUCGGGAGCAGAGUGACAGGUGGUGCAUGGUUGUCGUCAGCUCGUGUCGUGAGAUGUUGGGUUAAGUCCCGCAACGAGCGCAACCCUUGAUCUUAGUUGCCAUCAUUAAGUUGGGCACUCUAAGGUGACUGCCGGUGACAAACCGGAGGAAGGUGGGGAUGACGUCAAAUCAUCAUGCCCCUUAUGACCUGGGCUACACACGUGCUACAAUGGACGGUACAAAGAGCUGCAAGACCGCGAGGUGGAGCUAAUCUCAUAAAACCGUUCUCAGUUCGGAUUGUAGGCUGCAACUCGCCUACAUGAAGCUGGAAUCGCUAGUAAUCGCGGAUCAGCAUGCCGCGGUGAAUACGUUCCCGGGUCUUGUACACAC
rnacentral:rRNA from 1 species